AUCCCAUUACCAUUAGGACUCAUGAAACUUGCCGCAAAAAGAUAAACCAUCCAUUCCAACUAGACUAACAUUGGAGUAGAUAAAUAACAACAUAAUCCAAGGAUAACUGGGAUAAGCAAUGGCCUUUAACACUCUCAUUGUGAAGUUUGUUUUGAUGAUGACUCUUCUAAGCAAGCAACUUGCACUCCUCACCAGCCUAUCCCCUUCGGUGCCUAUGACGAAGUCAAGAAUGACUUUAACAAACCCUCUCAGCUUC
rnacentral:lncRNA from 1 species